AGACCCGAAACCCGGUGAUCUAGCCAUGGGCAGGUUGAAGGUUGGGUAACACUAACUGGAGGACCGAACCGACUAAUGUUGAAAAAUUAGCGGAUGACCUGUGGCUGGGGGUGAAAGGCCAAUCAAACCGGGAGAUAGCUGGUUCUCCCCGAAAGCUAUUUAGGUAGCGCCUCGUGAAUUCAUCUCCGGGGGUAGAGCACUGUUUCGGCUAGGGGGCCAUCCCGGCUUACCAACCCGAUGCAAACUGCGAAUACCGGAGAAUGUUAUCACGGGAGACACACGGCGGGUGCUAACGUCCGUCGUGAAGAGGGAAACAACCCAGACCGCCAGCUAAGGUCCCAAAGUCAUGGUUAAGUGGGAAACGAUGUGGGAAGGCCCAGACAGCCAGGAUGUUGGCUUAGAAGCAGCCAUCAUUUAAAGAAAGCGUAAUAGCUCACUGGUCGAGUCGGCCUGCGCGGAAGAUGUAACGGGGCUAAACCAUGCACCGAAGCUGCGGCAGCGACGCUGAUGCGUUGUUGGGUAGGGGAGCGUUCUGUAAGCCUGCGAAGGUGGCCUGUGAGGGUUGCUGGAGGUAUCAGAAGUGCGAAUGCUGACAUAAGUAACGAUAAAGCGGGUGAAAAGCCCGCUCGCCGGAAGACCAAGGGUUCCUGUCCAACGUUAAUCGGGGCAGGGUGAGUCGACCCCUAAGGCGAGGCCGAAAGGCGUAGUCGAUGGGAAACGGGUUAAUAUUCCCGUACUUGGUGUUACUGCGAAGGGGGGACGGAGAAGGCUAUGUUGGCCGGGCGACGGUUGUCCCGGUUUAAGCGUGUAGGUGUGUGUUCCAGGUAAAUCCGGUUCACUUUAACACUGAGGCGUGAUGACGAGGCACUACGGUGCUGAAGCAACAAAUGCCCUGCUUCCAGGAAAAGCC
rnacentral:rRNA from 1 species